rnacentral:misc_RNA from 1 species
GAUGAUGGUUACGUUGCUAUUGUUGUCUGUAGUCUGCUGCUGUUCUGCUAGAUGUUUCAACUUUCAAGUUGGAGCUUUUUAGUUUUUUGUUUAUUUCUUUGUUGGAUCACGUUAGGCCCACAAUGGACUACAUGGAGGAGAAUAACGAUGGAGACAAGCAGAGCAAACAGAUAAACAGCCAGCAGCAACAGCAGCAGCAGAGACCACCAACAGAAACGACCAAUCUGGCGCGCUAUGGCCCCUCGCGUCAGACCUACUUCAAGGAGGCGCGCGUCUCUAUACCCGACACCGAAUCGACUGGGUUCAGCUUUAAGAAGCUAUGGGCAUUUACGGGUCCUGGCUUCCUUAUGAGCAUAGCCUACCUUGAUCCAGGAAACAUAGAAUCUGAUCUUCAGUCCGGUACGCAAGCUAAGUAUAAGUUGCUAUGGGUGUUGCUGGGCUCGACGAUUCUCGGACUGAUAAUGCAGCGACUGGCGGCCCGACUGGGCGUGGUGACAGGCCUGCACCUGGCCGAGAUGUGCUACCGUCAGUACCGCAAGUGGCCACGCCUCUUCCUCUGGAUCAUGAUGGAGAUCGCCAUCAUUGGAUCGGACAUGCAGGAGGUCAUCGGCACGGCCAUCUCGCUCUACCUGCUCUCUAAUAAACUCAUUCCAUUGUGGGCCGGCGUACUUAUAACCGUAAUAGAUACAUUUUCGUUUUUAAUGCUCGACAAGUAUGGAUUGCGAAAACUCGAGUUCCUAUUUGCAAUCCUUAUAGCUGUGAUGGCUGUCACAUUUGGAUACGAGUUCAUCGUCGUAAAACCGGACGGCUUGGAGAUAAUGAAGGGUCUUGUCUAUCCAAGAUGUGACAGCACAAUUUUACUGCAGGCUGUGGGAAUAGUUGGAGCAGUUAUAAUGCCUCACAACCUCUACCUCCAUUCUGGAUUAGUAAAGUCAAGAGAAAUCCAGAGGUCGAAGCCAGAGAAAGUAAGAGAAGCCAAUAUGUACUUCUUUAUCGAAGCGUCAAUAGCGCUGGCUGUUUCUCUGGUCAUCAAUGUGUUUGUUGUAUCUGUGUUUGCACAUGGUCUCUAUGGCAAAACUAAUGCUGAUGUGAGGCAAGUUUGUUUAGCGAACCACAACGAGUACUUUGAUAGUUUCAAGAACAAUACAGAGCCUGCUAGUGUGAAUAUCUACAAGGGAGGUAUAUUUCUGGGCUGUCAGUUUGGUAUUCUGGCCAUGUACAUAUGGGCUGUCGGAAUUCUAGCCGCUGGGCAGAGUAGCACCAUGACUGGAUGCUAUGCUGGACAGUUCGCUAUGGAGGGCUUCCUGAAUCUAACAUGGAGCAGAUGGAAGCGAGUACUGUUUACGCGUAUGGUGGCCAUUCUGCCCACCUUCUACAUUGCUUUCUUCUCGAGGAUUGAGGAUCUCAGCGACAUGAACGACUUCCUGAACGCCGUCAUGAGUCUGCAACUGCCGUUCGCUACCAUACCAACCAUUGCUUUCACCAGUAAUCCUCAUAUCAUGGGCGAAUUCGUCAAUGGCCUAUGUAGCAAAGUGACAGCGGUGUGCAUCUCGGCCAUCGUGAUUGCGAUCGACAUCUACUUCGUGGCUGACUCGAUCAGUCAUCUGAGUGAGAACUGGCUGAUUGUCACAUUAAUCGGCAUCUACAGCGUCAUCUACCUGCUCAUGUGUAUCUACCUCACCAUACACAUGACUGUCAGUAUGAGCUCCAGUGAGAGGUUCAGCAAUAACCAUCUUAUCACAAAGUACAUCAGUGUCGAUCCACUAGUCGACUACCAUCUCGACCAAGACAAUGUAUCGAAUUCAAGCCUUGAUGAUCCGAAUCUGUCCAUAUAAGGUGGUGAGAAAAUGGCGUUGGUGGUUGGUGAUGGUGGAGCAUUUAUUGCUAUUUCUAAAUAAAGAAACAAUUAGCUCGCUUUCACAGGUAUACGUCAACGUUCAGUAUAAUUGACCCGGAUCGAAUAAAAUCGUGAUUUGUGAUAACCACAAAAGUCAAUUGGUGUCAUGAGGCCAAAUAGCAACCAAUUGAGUGGAAAAUAUGAACUUUUCCUGGAACGUCAUGAUCGUCGUCGUCUGAGAGACAGUGGUAUUGUGAAAUUGCAUAGACAUGUUCAUUUGUAAAAUCUCCAAAACAGAGUAUUUUUUAUAAUAAAAAAUGUGCAUAGUCAACAACUACCUGUGAUUAUUAGGCUUAGUUUGUUGGUGUUUAAAAACACUGACGUUUUACUGUAAAAAAUCUAUUUGUUGAUAUAAUAUUAGUAAGGAUAAAUUAAUAAUAUUAUUGUGAAAUUAUACGAGUAUAAUUUUGAGCUGAA